AGCGGCGUCCGCACCCGCACGCACACCCGGCCACGCUCGCACUCGCGCGGCCGCGGGGCCGGCUGCUUACCUCCGGGGCCUCAUGGUCGCGUCGCUAGCCUGGAUGCCCUGGACAUCAUUCCGAACAGCACAAUUCAAGGGUGGCUGAAACAACAAAAAUGUAACGUCUUACAGAUCUGAAGGCUUCCGGGUCGAUUCUGGACUGUGAUGAGAAUCUGUGCCAAGCCUCUCUCCUGGCUUCUGGUAGACUCGGGCAUUCCUUAGCUUGUAAAUGGCUGCUGCUUGUGUCAUCACAUUGUCUUCCCUUUCUACUUAUCUGUCCCCAUGCCCCAAUUUUUCCUUUUCAGGACACCAGUCAGAUUAGGACCCACCCUAAUGAUCUCAUCUUAACUUGAUUAACUACAAGGACCCUAUUUUUAAGUACACAUUUACAGAGACUGGGGGGUAGGACUUCAACAUCUUUUUGGAGGGAUGCAGUUCAACCCAUAACAAGAAUCAUUGUUAGAAAUGAUUUUGCUUCUUCACUGAAAAAUUAAUAUCAUUCUGCAGAGAACUGACUUGCUGCACAUGGCACAGAUUUUUUGCAUUUAUCAUAGUAAAAGAAAUCAGUCACAAAAGUUUGUUUUAGACUGCUACAUACCUAUCACAAAUACAAAUUAUUUCCAACAUCAAAAGUUAAUAAAGCAAGCACUGUCACCCAAAUUAUAUUGUAUCUAUUGAGCACUCCCUUAUGUACAGAAGAGGAA
rnacentral:lncRNA from 1 species